rnacentral:lncRNA from 1 species
UAUGUACAACUCCCUCGUUUGUCCUCCUCCAUUUUAUAUUUCCUUUUUUUUGGGCACUCCAAGGGUUACAACGGCGCCGUUCUGUUUCCUCCUCCAAUCACGUUUCAGAUCUAUUUUCUUUUCCCUUUAUUUUCAAGCUGCUCGAACCUUUUCAUCCAUUCUCGUGGGCCCUCGUCCGGUUUAUAGGUUAUCGCCCACAAUUGUUGACUGUUGCCCGCUGCCCUCCUUCCGCCAUCCGUCGUUUUCUUCUCCGAUAUCCGCCGCCGCUUCGUUCGAUGCCCGCCCGCUGUAACUUUGCACCGCAAUUUUCAUCCAAUAAUUGAGUGCGCCGCCCUUUUCGUCCAUAUCUUGAAUUUGUGGAAUGUAAUGCGCCGCCCUUUCCAUCCAUAUCUUGAAUUUGUGGAAUGUAAUUGGCAUCAUCUUCUUUUUACUGUUUCUAUUUACUCCAUAUUUUGUGUUUCUAAAUACUCCUCUAAUUUUUAAUUUGAUUUCGUUAUUUGCAAGGAGCAGGAGAAACCACAAAUAAUUCGACCAUGAAGCUACGGAGGCUGUUGUGAGUUGAACACUUUGCUCACUUCCCCACUUCUCAUUAUCACGAGGUAUUUUACUUUUUUUUUUUUUUUUUUUUUUUUCCUUUUCUUCCCAAUUUUGUACUGGUUUUCUAGAUAAGAAUUCAGCAACCCAUAUUUUGUAUUCA